CUUUAAAUAGCCCCCAGAGCUCCAGGCUGCUGCUGCUGCUACCCUGGGGGGGGGGCACUUACCUUACAGGGUGGGCUGGCUCUGACACCCUCAACCCUGGCCCUUCCGCCCUAAGCCCCACACCUUAUGGGGGCUUGAGCUGGCCCCAGAGUACCGACUCCAGGGACUUUAUUCCCAGCUUUGAUGUGUGGUGCUCAAGCAAGGGACAGUAUGUGCACGAUUCAAGGCAGAACUGGCUGGAACACAGUCCUGACAGAACCACCACAUGAAGCAAAGCUGUGCUGGUGGGUUUGACUUGAGUUUCCCUCAGGGACUUCCAAAGAGCGUGACCCCAUGUGAUGGAGACCCCAAUGGAGCUACUGUUCCACUGGCAGCUUGGGAAGCAAGUAAUCCAGCUCCCCCUGUUCCACUCCCAGGACAGCAGAGGUGAGGAGAGUGUUGCCAGCAGAACAGCCUGUAGCGUGAUGCAGGCCUGACAGUAGCUGCAAAGCCCAGAGAAAAACAACCCCUUCUAAGAGCCAAUUUCAGAGUGAGAAACUACCAUUGCAUCAAGCAGUUGUUCCUGAAGCAUUGGUACAUCCCUCAACACUGGCCUACAGGCUUUUGUGACUGGGACUCCAGCCUUCUCCUGUCUUUGUGCAGGGCCCCGAGCACUGGUUCUGCUCACACCUUCCACAUUUGACUGCAUGUGAGCCAAACCAUAAAGAAGCUUA